GACGAACCGUGCGAACGUUGUUCGGAUUCACUGGGCUUAAAGGGCGCGUAGGCGGCUUGCCAAGUCAGGGGUGAAAUCGUUCGGCUCAACCGGACAAUUGCUUUUGAUACUGGCAGGCUAGAGGGAGGUAGGGGCAGAUGGAACUUCCGGUGGAGCGGUGAAAUGCGUAGAUAUCGGAAGGAACGCCGGUGGCGAAAGCGAUCUGCUGGAUCUCUACUGACGCUGAGGCGCGAAAGCCAGGGGAGCAAACGGG
rnacentral:rRNA from 1 species